rnacentral:rRNA from 1 species
UGGGGAAUAUUGCACAAUGGAGGGAACUCUGUUGCAGCGACGCCGCGUGAGUGAUGAAGGAAUUCGUUUCGUAAAACUCUGUUCUAUGGGAAGAAAAGGACUGUACCAUAGGAGAAAGCUCCGGCUAAAUACGUGCCAGCAGCCGCGGUAAUACGUAUGGAGCGAGCGUUGUCCGGAAUUAUUGGGCGUAAAGGGUGCGCAGGCGGCUUUACAAGUUGGAUGUGAAAUAUUGUGGCUCAACCACAAACGUGCAUCCAAAACUGCAAAGCUGGAGUUAAGGAGAGGUAAGUGGAAUUCCUGGUGUAGCGGUGGAAUGCGUAGAUAUCAGGAGGAAUACCGGUGGCGAAGGCGACUUACUGGACUUAAACUGACGCUCAGGCACGAAAGCGUGGGGAGCAAACAGG